rnacentral:rRNA from 1 species
GGACGAACGCUGGCGGCGUGCCUAACACAUGCAAGUCGAACGGAGAUACUUUGAAGCUUGCGAUAAAGUAUCUUAGUGGCGGACGGGUGAGUAACGCGUGGGUAAUCUGCCCAUAAGUGGGGAACAACAGUUGGAAACGACUGCUAAUACCGCAUAAUCUGCCUUAGGGUAGGAAAGGUGGCCUCUUAACAAUGCUGCCGCUUAUGGAUGAGCCCGCGUCUGAUUAGCUAGUUGGUGGGGUAAAGGCCUACCAAGGCGACGAUCAGUAGCCGGCCUGAGAGGGUGAACGGCCACACUGGGACUGAGACACGGCCCAGACUCCUACGGGAGGCAGCAGUGGGGAAUAUUGCGCAAUGGGGGAAACCCUGACGCAGCGACGCCGCGUGAAGCGAAGAAGGCCUUAGGGUUGUAAAGCUCUGUUUUAGGGGACGAAUGUUCAUAGGAGUAAUAUGCCUGUGAAAUGACGGUACCCUAAGAGGAAGCCCCGGCUAACUACGUGCCAGCCGCCGC